AUGGUCACCAGGAUCCUUUACUGUGUGGCUCUUUGUUUCCUAGGAGCAGGAUCCUCAGAUGUAGGAGUCACUCAGAUAGCCAGGCAUGAAGUGGCACAGAAAGGACAAGCAAUAACUCUGAGAUGUGAGCCGAUUUCAGGUCAUAACAUCCUUUUCUGGUGCAGACAGACUAUGGGGCAGAAGCUGGAGUUGCUGACUUACUUCCGUAGCCAGACUCUUAUUGAUGAUGGGGGAAUGCCCAAGGAUCGAUUCUCUGCUGCCAUGCCUCAGGCCUCCUUCUCCACCUUGAAGAUCCAGCCCACAGAACUCAGGGACUCAGCUGCAUACCUCUGUGCCAGCAGCUUAGCCACAGCACUGCAGAAUCACCCUGUGCAGGUGCAGAAACCCUGGUGCUUCUUUCUCUGUCUCCCAGAUUUUCUCAGCAGUCAUCCCAGGCUGCCACCCUAUCUCAGGAAGGAUGGGGGUUUGGUGGUCUACCUGACUUAG